rnacentral:rRNA from 1 species
AUGAGCCGCAGUGAAUAGGCCCAGGCGACUGUUUAGCAAAAACACAGGGCUCUGCUAAGUCGGCUUCAAGACGACGUAUAGGGUCUGACGCCUGCCCAGUGCUGGAAGAUUAAAAGGAGGGGUGCAAGCUCUGAAUUGAAGUCCCAGUGAACGGCGGCCGUAACUAUGACGGUCCUAAGGUAGCGAAAUUCCUUGUCGGGUAAG